CAAUUGGAGGGCAAGUCUGGUGCCAGCAGCCGCGGUAAUUCCAGCUCCAAUAGCGUAUAUUAAACUUGUUGCAGUUAAAAAGCUCGUAGUUGAACUUCAGCCAUUGGUGUCAUCGCGCGUGUCGCGUUGAGUCCGUUGGCUUAUCUUUUUACUUUGAGAAAAUUAGAGUGUUUCAAGCAGACUUUUGUCUUGAAUACUUCAGCAUGGAAUAAUAGAGUAGGACCUUGGUUCUAUUUUGUUGGUUUCUGAACCUGGGUAAUGGUUAAUAGGAACGGUUGGGGGCAUUCGUAUUUAACUGUCAGAGGUGAAAUUCUUAGAUUUGUUAAAGACGAACUACUGCGAAAGCAUUUGCCAAGGACGUUUUCAUUAAUCAAGAACGAAAGUUAGGGGAUCGAAGACGAUCAGAUACCGUCGUAGUCCUAACCAUAAACUAUGCCGACUAGGGAUUGGAGGUCGUCAUUUUUCCGACUCC
rnacentral:rRNA from 1 species